AGAAGGAGGGAAGGAGAAGCCUCAAAAUUACUCCUGGCAACAUACCAAACACGGAACAGAGCUCCAGCUCACCCAGAAGUGUACGAGAGCCUUUCCAAACUUGAAGUCACUUGUCAACAACUUCACGCGACUGGAGAAACGAGGGAAGAGAGAGCAAAAAGUCCCAUUGCUCCUCACACAUGACAUGGAGGCAUCGAUAGACAUUCUGAUAAGCAACCGAACUGCAGUAGGUAUCUGCAGUGAUACGUGUCCACCGUGAAUAUUACAGACUCUCUGAAAACACCAUUCAGCUUGCUAAAAUUAGCAAACUGUUGAUUGCCAUAGAGAAAGGAAAUCACACUUAUCUGGGACGGUCUCUAGAGGAGCUGGAGCUGGAUGGAGACACUCUGGAUGGUGAAAAAUCAGAUGAUGAAUAUCUGCCAGGCAAAAAGAAGCAAAAGACAUCCUCGAGAGUUCCAUCCCGUCAGGAUCAUUUGGAGACAGGUGUCGAGGGUUCUUGUGGAGAACAAGAAUCAGAGAACGUUCCCCUGUCCGAAAGAAGAGGCCUUCCUCCAGGACUCAAAAUGCAGACCUUGUUGAAGAUGUAGAGACAAGAAAAUCAG